UGGCGUGGGGUGGAGAAUAACAAUCAUAGCAGCAGCAACUAAUUUCUACAGUGUUCUAAGAUUUGCAGACUAUUUUCCACAGAACAAGCCCACCAAGGAGGCUUUUCCAUGGAACAUUUCAUUUCAAGGAACUUUAUCCUCUGAUUUCUCUUCAUUUCCUGUUUUCUCUGAAGCUUGGGGCUGCAGAGCUGGAACUGGUCUCCCCAUUUCAUAGAAGAGGAAAACAGUCUGGACUUGACCUCUAAAGUGUUUCUCAGUGGGCAGCUACGUGGCACAAUGGAUAGAGUGCUGGGCCUGGAGUCAGGAAGA